rnacentral:piRNA from 1 species
AGGAUGCGUUGCUGUUCCAAGCCCAGGCGG